GCAGGUUGAAUGGUUGUUUAAAACCAAUUUGAAAUGCUGAAGUCCCUUAACUUCCUAAGAUGUCUCUCCAUAUCUUGUCUAGUUUUGGUCCAUUCUUCUUUCUCUAUCACCGUGGUCGGAUCAUCUCGUUCACUCGAAUGGAUGAUCUUGAAAGAGUUCCCAUUAUCCCGAACUACGAGUAAGUCGCUUCUCCUGUCCCUAUCUCUUCCACCUGGAACCGUGA
rnacentral:misc_RNA from 1 species